rnacentral:rRNA from 1 species
UACGUAGGUGGCAAGCGUUGUCCGGAUUUAUUGGGUUUAAAGGGUGCGUAGGCGGCCUUGUAAGUCAGUGGUGAAAUACUCCAGCUUAACUGGAGGGGUGCCAAUGAUACUGCAGGGCUUGAGUACAGAUGAGGUAGGCGGAAUUGACGGUGUAGCGGUGAAAUGCAUAGAUAUCGGGAAGAACACCAGUGGCGAAGGCGACGUGCUGGGUUACCCCUGACGCUGAGAUGCGAAAGUGUGGGGAGCAAACGGG